rnacentral:misc_RNA from 1 species
GGGAAUCUAGCUAACCAACCCUCAAUUCUGGCAGUGUUGUCUAGUAAUGAAUUUUCUUGCGUUAUAGCAACACCCUGUUUUGCAAAUUCCAGGCCAGCUUCACGAAAGGACUUCUGUACUUCCAGCAAACCAUUUCUAGUCUCAGGGGUACCUCCACUCUUCGAAAUUACAAUUACAAGAGUUGAAGACAGCUCAGGGCCAAGCUGAGCAAUCUGAUGAUCAAUUCCAGCUGGAUCUGUAUUAUCAAUGAAUCUUAUCUUGAGAGGAGGAUUAUCAGGCGC